GUCUAUGGCCAUACCACCCUGAACAAGUCCGAUCCCGUCUGAUCUCGGAAGCUAAGCAGGGUCAGGCCCGGUUAGUACUUGGAUGGGAGACCACCCAGGAAGACCAAGUGCCAAAAAAA
rnacentral:rRNA from 1 species